rnacentral:rRNA from 1 species
AUUGAACGCUGGCGGAAUGCUUUACACAUGCAAGUCGAACGGCAGCACGGGAGCUUGCUCCUGGUGGCGAGUGGCGAACGGGUGAGUAAUAUAUCGGAACGUAUCCAAUAAUGGGGGAUAACUACUCGAAAGGUUGGCUAAUACCGCAUACGCCCUGAGGGGGAAAGCUGGGGAUCGUAAGACCUAGCGGUAAUGGAGCGGCCGAUAUCGGAUUAGCUAGUUGGUGGGGUAAAGGCCUACCAAGGCGACGAUCCGUAGCUGGUCUGAGAGGACGACCAGCCACACUGGAACUGAGACACGGUCAAGAAUCCUACGGGGGGCAGCAGUGGGGAAUUUUGGACAAUGGGCGCAAGCCAGAUCCAGCCAUUCCGCGUGAGUGAAGAAGGCCUUCGGGUUGUAAAGCUCUUUCGCAAGGGAAGAAACGUUACGAGCGAAUAACUCGUGAUAAUGACGGUACCUUGAUAAGAAGCACCGGCUAACUACGUGCCAGCCGCCGCGGUAAAAC